CGGCUGCGUAGAGUUUGAUCGUGGCUCAGUAGUCGUAACAAGGUACCCGUACAAUUUGCGGACGGGUGAGUAAUGCUUAGGAAUCUGCCUAUUAGUGGGGGACAACAUCUCGAAAGGGAUGCUAAUACCGCAUACGUCCUACGGGAGAAAGCAGGGGACCUUCGGGCCUUGCGCUAAUAGAUGAGCCUAAGUCGGAUUAGCUAGUUGGUGGGGUAAAGGCCUACCAAGGCGACGAUCUGUAGCGGGUCUGAGAGGAUGAUCCGCCACACUGGGACUGAGACACGGCCCAGACUCCUACGGGAGGCAGCAGUGGGGAAUAUUGGACAAUGGGGGGAACCCUGAUCCAGCCAUGCCGCGUGUGUGAAGAAGGCCUUUUGGUUGUAAAGCACUUUAAGCGAGGAGGAGGCUACCGAGAUUAAUACUCUUGGAUAGUGGACGUUACUCGCAGAAUAAGCACCGGCUAACUCUGUGCCAGCAGCCGCGGUAAUACAGAGGGUGCAAGCGUUAAUCGGAUUUACUGGGCGUAAAGCGCGCGUAGGUGGCCAAUUAAGUCAAAUGUGAAAUCCCCGAGCUUAACUUGGGAAUUGCAUUCGAUACUGGUUGGCUAGAGUAUGGGAGAGGAUGGUAGAAUUCCAGGUGUAGCGGUGAAAUGCGUAGAGAUCUGGAGGAAUACCGAUGGCAAGGCAGCCAUCUGGCCUAAUACUGACACUGACGUGCGAAAGCAUGGGGAGCAAACAGGAUUAGAUACCCUGGUAGUCCAUGCCGUAAACGAUGUCUACUAGCCUUUGGGGCCUUUGAGGCUUUAAUGGCCCAGCUAACGCGAUAAGUAGACCGCCUGAGGAGUACGGUCGCAAGACUAAAACUCAAUGAAUUGACGGGGGCCCGCACAAGCCGGGAAGCAUGUGUUAAUUCCAUGCAACCGAAAACCUUACCUGGUCCUGACAUAGUAGAACUUUCCAAAUGGAUUGGUGCUUUCGAGACUUACAUACAAGUGCUGAUUGCUGUCAUAAGUCUUGUCGUGAGAUG
rnacentral:rRNA from 1 species